UUUUUUGAGGUCUUGCUCUUUAGC
rnacentral:piRNA from 1 species